rnacentral:rRNA from 1 species
UUUUAUCUUUAAGGUAAAUAUGGGAUGCAGUGUAUGGAACAUCAAUAAUCUAGUAUGAAAAAUUAACGAUUUAAGUCCUUCUUAAAUGAGGCCAUUUACCCAUAGAGGGUGCCAGGCCCGUAUAACGUUAAUGAUUAUUAGAAGAUGUUUCCAAAGAGUCGUGUUGCUUGAUAGUGCAGCACUAAGUGGGUGGUAAACUCCAUCUAAAACUAAAUAUAACCAUGAGACCGAUAGUAAACAAGUACCGUGAGGGAAAGUUGAAAAGAACUCUGAAUAGAGAGUUAAAUAGUACGUGAAACUGCUUAGAGGUUAAACCCGAUGAACCUGAAUAUCCAUUAUGGAAAAUUCAAUACUAAUAAAAUGGUGUGCAAUUUUUCCAUAUAAGGACAUUGUAAUCUGUUAAUGUCAUAUAUAUUUAUCAAAAGAUUUAAUACUUAAAGUUUAUUUAAAUUCAACAUAAAAUAAAUGUAUUAAAUUUGAUAAAUCAUUGACAGAUAUAAUUAUAUAAUGUGCUUAAAUUCUUUUGAAUUUAGCAAUAUUGCCUGCACUUAUUAUGAUUAACAAUGCGAUAGAUUCAGGAUACCUUCGGGACCCGUCUUGAAACACGGACCAAGGAGUCUAACAUAUGUGCAAGUCAUUGGGUAUUUUUAAUAAAACCCAAUGGCAUAAUUAACUUAACUUUUGGGAUUAAUUUAUAUUUAUUCAAUCCCGGGGCGUUCUAUAUAGUUAUGUAUAAUAAUAUUUAUAUUAUUUAUACCUCUAACUAGAGCGUACCUUGAGCAUAUAUGCUGUGACCCGAAAGAUGGUGAACUAUACUUGAUCAGGUUGAAGUCAGGGGAAACCCUGAUGGAAGACCGAAACAGUUCUGACGUGCAAAUCGAUUGUCAGAAUUGAGUAUAGGGGCGAAAGACUA